ACACAAGCGGAGGAGCAUGUGGUUUAAUUCGAUGAUACGCGAGGAACCUUACCUGGGCUUAAAUGUAGAGUGCAUUUUUUAGAGAUAGAAAUUCCCUUCGGGGCUUUCUGCAAGGUGCUGCAUGGUUGUCGUCAGCUCAUGCCGUGAGGUGUCGGGUUAAGUCCCAUAACGAGCGCAACCCUUAUCGUUAGUUGCCAGCUGGUAAAGCAGGGGACUCUAGCGAAACUGCCACCGUAAGGUGAGAGGAAGGUGGGAUGACGUCAAAUCAGCACGGCCCUUAUGUCCAGGGCUACACACGUGUUACAAUGGCCGGCACAGAGGGCAGCUACCUGGUGACAGGAUGCUAAUCUCGAAAACCGGUCUCAGUUCGGAUCGAAGUCUGCAACUCGACUUCGUGAAGCUGGAUUCGCUAGUAAUCGCGCAUCAGCCAUGGCGCGGUGAAUACGUUCCCGGGCCUU
rnacentral:rRNA from 1 species